rnacentral:rRNA from 1 species
UGGGGAAUUUUGGACAAUGGGGGCAACCCUGAUCCAGCAAUGCCGCGUGAGUGAAGAAGGCCUUCGGGUUGUAAAGCUCUUUUGUCAGGGAAGAAACGGUAGUAGCGAAUAACUAUUACUAAUGACGGUACCUGAAGAAUAAGCACCGGCUAACUACGUGCCAGCAGCCGCGGUAAUACGUAGGGUGCAAGCGUUAAUCGGAAUUACUGGGCGUAAAGCGUGCGCAGGCGGUUGUGUAAGUCAGAUGUGAAAUCCCCGGGCUCAACCUGGGAAUUGCAUUUGAGACUGCACGGCUAGAGUGUGUCAGAGGGGGGUAGAAUUCCACGCGUAGCAGUGAAAUGCGUUAGAUAUGUGGAGGAAUACCGAUGGCGAAGGCAGCCCCCUGGGAUAACACUGACGCUCAUGCACGAAAAGCGUGGGGAGCAAAAC